rnacentral:tRNA from 1 species
GAGGGUAUAGCUCAGUGGCAGAGUAUGUGUUUAGAAACCACAAGCUCUUGAGUUUGUUCCCUAGUGCCUUUU